ensembl:lncRNA
ACACGGGCCCCUCCGGGGCGGUCAAAACUCGGCACCAGGGGCGGCUGCGAAGGUCAAGCAGUGAGUAGAGCCCACUCGCGGGCGGUUAACCUCUGGACACCUUCCAAGCAGCCCGCAGCCCCCAGGCCUCGCCCCCGCGAGGAAGCCUCCAGGUACUUAACCCUUCCCUGGCCCGCCAAGCUCAGAGUUAACCUUUUCAUGGUAUCAUCGCUUUGAGGUCCCUGGAGGUCUUUUCACCGUUAAGAACUUUGAGCAGCCUGGGGAUAUAGGGCCGGAGGUCAAGUAAGGUCUGCCAUUGUGGUGACAUCUGUUUCCCAGGCCUUCUGAUUCUGGGUCACUGUUGCUUGGGCUGGUCAUUCUCCGACCCGGGUUGUGAGUCAGCCGGUUCUAAGCCUGAGGUUCUAUACGCUGAGUUUCUAGCUCAGAGGGGUAGGUGUCAUAGGGCUGCAUCCUGUUCUAGCCUUCAUCUGCCCUGUCCAUCCAUUCCUGAGCUGUGGGCCUCAUCUGGCAGAGUGUGGUGGUCCAGACCUUGCUUGGGAGGGAAACAAUGUCACUAAUUAUCUCUGUGACCUUGGGGAGGUUGCCACACUUCUCUAAACCUGUUUUCUCUUUCCUAAAAUGGGCAUAAUGAUGGUACUUACCUCAGGGUUGUUAUGGAGUUGAAACAGUCCAAGUAAAGCACUUAGCAAGGAACCCUUGAUAUCGUAUGCAUUCACUAAGCUUAGCUAGUCCUAUUUCUUUAACAUUUUCUAAGUGACUAUUCUGUAGAGAGGUAAUAAAAUAUAGUGGUAUUUAGCAACUGUGGAGCCAGGCUGACAGGGUGUGCAAAUCUCUGAAGGCGGGUAUGCAGGAGAACUUUGGCAAAUUCCUGAACCACCCCCGUACCUGUUUUUUCUUCUGUAAAAGGGGGAUACUAUUGGUAUGAACUGCAUAAGCUAUAGUGAGGAUUCAGUGAUGUUACACAUACAUAUGUGAAGCCCUUAGAACCGUUUCUGAUUCAAAUUUAAUCAUUUGUGCGAAGCACUGAAGAUGACGCAGUGAAUCCGCAAGGAGUUUACAAGGAUAUUUAUAAAACAGUUUUGUCAUGUAGUAGAUAAAAUUCUGGUUAUACAAAAAGUCCUAUGGGAGUAAAAAGGAUGGGACUCCACGGAUCAAGCACUUUGGAAAGUGUCGUGGAGCAGAUGACACUGGGCUGAAUCUUUAAGAUUGACAAGAGGAGGAGUUCCUCUUGUGGCUCAUUGGGUUAAGAACUCCACUAGUAUCCAUGAGGAUUUGGGUUAGAUCCCUGGCCUUGCUCAGUGGGUUAAGGAUCCAGUGUUGCUGCAGCUGCCUGUAGGUCAAAGCUAUGGCUUGGAUUCAGUCCCUGGCCUAGGGACUUCCAUAAGCCCUGCGUACAGCCAAAAAAAAAAAAAAAAAAAAAAAAAAGACAAGGAAUUUGCCUGAGAGGUGGUUCUGCAGUGUGGGUGUUGGAUUAGAGCUGCUGCAUGUAGAAACCAUUCAGACUGAGAGGUCAGCAUGAAAAAACAAAAAUAGAGAGUUCCACUUGUGGUUCAGUGGUAAUGAACCCAACUAGUAUCCAUGAGACUCAGGUUUGAUCCCUGGCCUCACUCAGUGGGUUAAGGAUCUGGUGUUGCCGUGAGCUGUGGUGUAGGUCGUAGAUGCGUCUCAGAUCCCGAGUUGCUGUGGUAGGUCAGCAGCUACAGCUCUGGUUUGACCCCUGCCUGGGAACCUCUAUAUGCCUCAGGAGCGGACCAAGAAAUGGCAAAAAGACGAAAAAAAAAAAAAAAAAAGAAAGAAAAAGAAAAGAUGUGGAGUCCUCUUGUGGCACAGCAGCAGGUCAAGUAUCUGGUGUUGUCAUCGCAUCGGCUCAGGUCACUGCUGUGGUGUGGGUCGACCCCUGGCCGGGGCAUUUCCCCAUGCUGUGGGAGCAGCCAAAAAAAUGAAAAGAAAGCUGUGAACUUGAGCACUUGUCAUCCACCCAACCUGGAUAUUCUUGCCACUGUGACAACAAAAAUAAGGAUAUCAUGGCUUAGAGGACAGAUGGUAAGCCUAAUCCAUAGCCAGCUCAGCUAGUGGUUUAAAACAUGGUCUUUACCCAGUGCUUGGGAAUCCUGAACUGGUCACAUCUGGUUGGGAAUAGCUCAAGUAUUCCACAAUGCUACAAGCAAUUUUAACUUUUUACUUUUUUUUAUUGAGAUGUCACAUAUACAGAGUAUAUUAAUCUUAAAUUGCUCAGUGGAUCUUACAUAUUUAUGCAGCAAAAAGAUCAAGAACACUUCCAGCAUCCCAAAGGGCUCCUUCUUGCUCUGACACUACGCCCCUAAAGUAACUCCUAUUUGACCUCUAUCAGGAUAGGUUAGCUUUGCCUCUUCAUCAGUUUCAUGCAGAUUAGGGAGUUCCUAUCAUGGCUCAGUGGAAACAAAUCUGACUAACAUCCAUGAGGACACAGGUUCAAUCCCUGGCCUUGCUCAGUGAGUUAAAGACCCAGCCUUGCCAUGACCUGUGGUGUAGAUCACAGACUCAGCUCAGAUCUGGUGUUGCUUUAGCUGUGGCACAGGUUAGCAGCUACAAAAGGAGGGUG